rnacentral:lncRNA from 1 species
UCCACUCAAUGUUAGCAUUAGUAUCUGCAACAAAGAGCCUAUUAGUUUAUUAAUGCUCCUCUAUAUCUGCAUUGUAUAGCUGAAAACGACAGAACAUAUGUUUAGAGUUCUCCCUGUCACUUACUAAAAAUAUUGACCCUUGCAGUAUUCACCUUUGGCUCAAUCUGUUCUGCCAUGGGAAUUACCAGUUUUCCCCACACCAUAUUAUGCCACAUGACUUCAUCUCUGAUCUUUCUUAUUGCAUUGAUAUGUUGAUUUCAUUGAAAACAUAUCCUGCGGAUCUGGUAGCCAGAUUACUCUAUCUCUCCCAAUGUUGCUAUUGAUCUCGGUCU